rnacentral:rRNA from 1 species
CUGAAGAGUUUGAUCCUGGCUCAGAUUGAACGCUAGCGGCAUGCCUUACACAUGCAAGUCGAACGGCAGCAUAGGUGCUUGCACCUGAUGGCGAGUGGCGAACGGGUGAGUAAUACAUCGGAACGUGCCCAGUAGUGGGGGAUAGCUCGGCGAAAGCCGGAUUAAUACCGCAUAGUCUCUUCG